rnacentral:rRNA from 1 species
ACCAUGCAGUCGAACGGCAGCGGGGGUAGCUUGCUACCUGCCGGCGAGUGGCGAACGGGUGAGUAAUACAUCGGAACGUGCCCUGUAGUGGGGGAUAACUAGUCGAAAGACUAGCUAAUACCGCAUACGACCUGAGGGUGAAAGUGGGGGACCGCAAGGCCUCAUGCUAUAGGAGCGGCCGAUGUCUGAUUAGCUAGUUGGUGGGGUAAAGGCCCACCAAGGCGACGAUCAGUAGCUGGUCUGAGAGGACGAUCAGCCACACUGGGACUGAGACACGGCCCAGACUCCUACGGGAGGCAGCAGUGGGGAAUUUUGGACAAUGGGGGCAACCCUGAUCCAGCAAUGCCGCGUGUGUGAAGAAGGCCUUCGGGUUGUAAAGCACUUUUGUCCGGAAAGAAAUCGCACUGGUUAAUACCUGGUGUGGAUGACGGUACCGGAAGAAUAAGGACCGGCUAACUACGUGCCAGCAGCCGCGGUAAUACGUAGGGUCCAAGCGUUAAUCGGAAUUACUGGGCGUAAAGCGUGCGCAGGCGGUUGUGCAAGACCGAUGUGAAAUCCCCGGGCUUAACCUGGGAAUUGCAUUGGUGACUGCACGGCUAGAGUGUGUCAGAGGGAGGUAGAAUUCCACGUGUAGCAGUGAAAUGCGUAGAGAUGUGGAGGAAUACCGAUGGCGAAGGCAGCCUCCUGGGAUAACACUGACGCUCAUGCACGAAAGCGUGGGGAGCAAACAGGAUUAGAUACCCUGGUAGUCCACGCCCUAAACGAUGUCAACUAGUUGUUGGGGAUUCAUUUCCUUAGUAACGUAGCUAACGCGUGAAGUUGACCGCCUGGGGAGUACGGUCGCAAGAUUAAAACUCAAAGGAAUUGACGGGGACCCGCACAAGCGGUGGAUGAUGUGGAUUAAUUCGAUGCAACGCGGAAAAACCUUACCUACCCUUGACAUGCCACUAACGAAGCAGAGAUGCAUUACGUGCUCGAAAGGAGAAAGUGGACACAGGUGCCUGCAUGGCCUGUCGUCAGCUCGUGUCCUGAGAUGUUGGCUAGUUCCC